CAAUAGCUGAUGUUGGCCACUAGAGGGAAGCAAGAAACAAGUUGUAAACAUUGUGGGCAAACGGCUGCUUUACACAUUCAGCAGCUACGGAACAACCAAAAGUUACCAUCAUUUGGAGUCAUGUCUCCGUUCACCUGGCGAAUUUAAGUCCAAAAGAUGUGCCUGAUGUCCCUCUGAAGCUUGUCCUUGUCGAGGCGGGAUUUGAUGUCACCUAUCUGCCUCACUGACUCAAUGGCGUCGUGCACUGACAGGAACGCUGUUAAAAAGAGAAAAGGGGUGGACAGAGUAUAACCAGACAAAAUGCAUUGAAGGAUCGAGGCCAAGGGCUCGCAACAGAAGGCUUUAUCAACGCCUCUCACACCUUCAUCAUCACUCCUACAAGGGGCACCAAGGUCAUA